rnacentral:rRNA from 1 species
ACUCCUACGGGAGGCAGCAGUGGGGAAUAUUGGACAAUGGGGGAACCCUGAUCCAGCCAUGCCGCGUGGUGUGAAGAAGGCCUUAUGGUUGUAAAGCACUUUAAGCGAGGAGGAGGCUACUGAGACUAAUACUCUUCGGAUAGUGGACGUUACUCGCAGAAUAAGCACCGGCUAACUCUGUGCCAGCAGCCGCGGUAAUACAGAGGGUGCGAGCGUUAAUCGGAUUUACUGGGCGUAAAGCGUGCGUAGGCGGCUUUUUAAGCGGAUGUGAAACUCCCCGAGCUUAACUUGGGAAUUGCAUUCGGAUACUGGGAAGCUAGAGUAUGGAGAGGAUGGUAGAAUUCCAGGUGUAGCGGUGAAAUGCGUAGAGAUCGUGGAGGAAUACCGAUGGCGAAGGCAGCCAUCUGGCCUAA